rnacentral:rRNA from 1 species
AACGAACGCUGGCGGCAGGCCUAACACAUGCAAGUCGAACGAUAAGCCACCUUCGGGUGGUGGACAGUGGCAGACGGGUGAGUAACGCGUGGGAACGUGCCUUUCGGUUCGGAAUAACCCAGGGAAACUUGGGCUAAUACCGGAUACGCCCUUCGGGGGAAAGAUUCAUUGCCGAAAGAUCGGCCCGCGUCGGAUUAGCUAGUUGGUGGGGUAAUGGCUUACCAAGGCUACGAUCUGUAUCCGGUCUAAGAGGACGGUCGGACACACUGACACUGAAUAACGGGUCAGACUCCUACGGGAGGCAGCAGUCGGGAAUUUUGGGCAAUGGGGGAAACCCUGACCCAGCAACGCCGCGUGAAGGAUGAAGUAUUUCGGUAUGUAAACUUCGAAAGAAUGGGAAGAAUAAAUGACGGUACCAUUU